rnacentral:rRNA from 1 species
CGCCUGGGGAGUGCGGCCGCAAGGUUAAAACUCAAAUGAAUUGACGGGGGCCCGCACAAGCGGUGGAGCAUGUGGUUUAAUUCGACGCAACGCGAAGAACCUUACCUGGCCUUGACAUCCAGAGAGCUUUCCAGAGAUGGAUUGGUGCCUUCGGGAACUCUGAGACAGGUGCUGCAUGGCCGUCGUCAGCUCGUGUCGUGAGAUGUUGGGUUAAGUCCCGUAACGAGCGCAACCCCUAUCCCUGGUUGCUAGCAGGUAAUGCUGAGAACUCCAGGGAGACUGCCGGUGACAAACCGGAGGAAGGUGGGGAUGGCGUCAGGUCAUCAUGGCCCUUACGGCCAGGGCUACACACGUGCUACAAUGGCGCGUACAGAGGGCUGCCAACUCGCGAGAGUGAGCCAAUCCCUUAAAACGCGUCGUAGUCCGGAUCGGAGUCUGCAACUCGACUCCGUGAAGUCGGAAUCGCUAGUAAUCGCGAAUCAGAAUGUCGCGGUGAAUACGUUCCCGGGCCUUGUACACACCGCCCGUCACACCAUGGGAGUGGAUUGCACCAGAAGUAGUUAGUCUAACCUUCGGGAGGACGAUUACCACGGUGUGGUUCAUGACUGGGUGAAGUCGUAACAAGGUAACCGUA